GCUGGGUCUGAGGAGUGCUGGAGGUGCCGAGUUCUGUGUAUUGUGUGCACUGAGUGCAAGGUGUGCUGGUAGCUGGGUGCAAGAGGUUCCUGGUUCUGAGUGCUGAUGUGGUCUAGGUGCUGAGGGUGUCCUGGUUCUGGGAGCUGGGCGUGCUGGUGUCAGUAGGGCAAUGGUGACCACCGUCUGGGCUUGGGUGUACCCAAGCGGUGAGGAAGGCUCACAACGUCUUCCAGGCAGGAGCUGAGGAGGAUGAGAGCCACCAGGACACCAGGCAGUGGUGUCGACUUCAGGGAGAGUGUCCAGGAAGUGCUGGAGGAAGGCCUUUCCCUUCUCCUCUGGUGGCGGGUGGUGCAUGGAGGAUGGUGCACUGGGUUGGAAGGCACCCAUGUCAUACUGUGGUGACGUGCGGAAAUCAGACCCUAUAGUCAGUAAGGAUAUAGAGCAGGUAUAUGUUUAUUGGUGUCGCGCGUACACCCUGGUGCAAGGGGGAUCGCUGCACCAAACUUGCACACUGUCCGAAGAAAUCAUGCUAUAGAUAUAGGUCAAACUAAUACAUAAUCAGUAGUUGACAGGAAUUCGGAUACAUAUUCACUACAUUCCCGAGAGACCAUUAGGACAUAGGCCCUCCCCCCCCUGCGCGUGCGUGGUAGGUCGUGAUGAUGAAGGCUUGUAGACUUCCUCGCGAAGGCUCGUAGUAUUCCUCGCUGCAAACUUCUGACCCAGAAGGGGGGGCAUCCCCCGAACCAGUUUCAGCUUGCACUUCAGACAUCUAAUCACCUCUCUGCCAAAUGUUUUCGAGAUGUUCUCCGGUCCUUAUCUUUAUGGCCUUCACUCUCCUUGUUAUUCUGGACCUAGCGCCUGUGAAAGUGCUUGGAAUCCCUUGUUUUCUAAUACUCUCUACAUAAACUACCUCUAUUUGCCCCUUAUGUCUACCUUGUGAGGCUGCUUUCCCUUUUCUUGCUAUGAGGCCCUUCUUUCUGUAUUACAGGGACCUGAUUUUGCCCUUCAGUGGGCAGAAAGUUUGCAGUCAGCAGAGGGGGUGGGUAGGGCCAUCCAUUUGGCAUGGGGACAGGUUGGAUGAGGACCCUGUCCUGAAGUGAGGUGGGGGCAUCCCUCCAACAUGGAGCUGAGAUGGCUCUCCGGCAUGCAAUGGGGAUGUCCCUGUGGAGACGAGGGGGCAAGCUCAAUCUCUUCACCUACAGCCAGGCAUGACCACCUCAAGGCAAACAUCAGCUGCCCUCUUGCGAGGAUCCCGCUGGUGGCUUGUCCCCUCUGUCCUUGGUUGGGUGGCUCUGGCCCCCAGCAGCCUGGGAUGUCUGAGGGGCUGGACCCGCUCUGGGACUUCAGUGCCAACCAGGAGUGCCCUCCCUGUUCCCACGUGUCCCCCACACUGCCCUUCUCCCUCAC
rnacentral:lncRNA from 1 species